AACGGUUCUGCAUUAUCAGCAAAAAACAAAGCGAGAAAAAUGUAGAGGGUGUACUGCCUUCAGAGGACUGGCCAGAUGAAAUAUCACCCUUCUCCUGCACAUCCACACAGCUGGAAGAAUGCAACUCACACCAAUCACAACCACGGAAUGAAAUGUGAAGAAUGACUUUGUCUGCUCUUCAGUCGUGCUCUAGGCAGAGGUAAGGAAAUUCAAAGAGAAUAUAUAUAUAGACCGACUAAGAAGAGGUGGACUUCAAAGCCUUCUGCUUUCUAUUUAAAUGACAACAGAUAUAUUGAUAUAUUCCAUAGAAACAACACACACACACACACACACACACACACACACACACACACACACACACACACACACACACACACACACACACACACACACACACACACACACACACACACACACACA